UAAGGGCACAGGGCGGAUGCCUUGGCACUAAGAGCCGAUGAAAGACGUGAUAAGCUGCGAUAAGCUUCGGGGAGGAGCAAAUAUCCCGUGAUCCGGAGAUGUCUGAAUGGGGAAACCCACAUGAGCAAACCUCAUGUAUCCUACAGCCAAUACAUAACUGUAGGAAGGGAACCCGGGGAACUGAAACAUCUAAGUACCCGGAGGAAAAGAAAGAAAACUCGAUUCCGUAAGUAGCGGCGAGCGAACGCGGAGGAGCCUAAACCGGAAUGCGUGCAUUCCGGGGUUACGGACUGCAUUUAAGAUUCUCUGAAGCUAACAGAACGGUUUUGGGAAAGCCGGCCGGAGAGGGUGAAAGCCCCGUACGUGAAAGCUGAUGAGACUGAGCAGGAUCCAGAGUACCACGAGACACGUGGAACCUUGUGGGAAAUCAGGGGGACCACCCCCUAAGGCUAAAUACUACUUAGUGACCGAUAGCGCAUAGUACUGUGAAGGAAAGGUGAAAAGGACCCCGGGAGGGGAGUGAAAGAGAACCUGAAACCCUGUGUCUACAAGCUGUGGAAGUGCUUUAUAUGCACGACCGCGUACUUUUUGUAGAACGGUCCGGCGAGUUACGCUUACUGGCAAGGUUAAGCACUUCAGGUGUGGAGCCGUAGGGAAACCAAGUCUUAAGAGGGCCUUAAGUCAGUAGGAGUAGACCCGAAACCGGGUGAUCUAUCCAUGUCCAGGUUGAAGCUGCCGUAAGAGGUAGUGGAGGACCGAACCCACAUCCGUUGAAAAGGGUGGGGAUGAGGUGUGGAUAGGGGAGAAAUUCCAAUCGAACCCGGAGAUAGCUGGUUCUCCUCGAAAUAGCUUUAGGGCUAGCCUCGAUACAGAUUUGCGGAGGUAGAGCACUGAAUUUCCUAGGGGGCGUCAAAGCCUACCGAAGAAUAUCAAACUCCGAAUGCCGCGUAAUCGAUUAUCGGGAGUCAGACUGCACGAGAUAAGUUGGGCGGUCAAAAGGGAAAGAGCCCAGACCUUCAGUUAAGGUCCCAAAGUGCGCGUUAAGUGGAAAAGGAUGUGGGAUUUCGAAGACAACCAGGAUGUUGGCUCAGAAGCAGCCAUCCAUUCAAAGAGUGCGUAAUAGCUCACUGGUCGAGAGGUCCUGCGCCGAAAAUGUCCGGGGCUGAAACGCGCCACCGAAACUAAGGAACCGAAAGGUUGGUAGAGGAGCAUUGCAUGCGGGAAGAAGCAGUACCGUAAGGAGCUGUGGACUGCAUGGAAGAGAGAAUGCCGGAAUGAGUAGCGAGAAUAAGGUGAGAAUCCUUAUGGCCGAAUAUCCAAGGUUUCCAGAGUAAAGCUGAUCUGCUCUGGGUAAGUCGGGGCCUAAGGCGAGGACGAGAGUCGUAGCCGAUGGACAACAGGUGGAGAUUCCUGUACUGCGGUAUGACAGAACUGUGGGGACACGUAAGGAAAGCGGAAGCCGGGAAUGGAAAGCCCGGUGCAAGCGGGGUACCAGCCACUUUGGCAAAUCCGGGUGGCAAUGGGAAGCCGUGAUGCGGAGUGAAAUAAAGUAACGAAGUCCGUGAGCCAUGCGUCAAGAAAAGCCGCUAUCGUUUAUACCGUACCCGUACCGUAAACCGACACAGGUGGAUGAGGAGAGAAUCCUAAGGCCGGCGGAAGAAGCAUUGUCAAGGAACUCGGCAAAAUGGCCCCGUAACUUAGGGAUAAGGGGUGCCUGGGAAACCAGGCCGCAGAGAAUAGGCUCAAGCAACUGUUUAGCAAAAACACAGGUCUAUGCGAAACCGAAAGGUGAGGUAUAUGGGCUGACGCCUGCCCGGUGCUGGAAGGUUAAGAGGAGAGGUUAGCGCAAGCGAAGCUUUGAAUUUAAGCCCCAGUAAACGGCGGCCGUAACUAUAACGGUCCUAAGGUAGCGAAAUUCCUUGUCGGGUAAGUUCCGACCCGCACGAAAGGCGUAAUGAUUUGAGCGCUGUCUCGACAAUGCAUCCGGUGAAAUUGAAGUACCAGUGAAGAUGCUGGUUACCU
rnacentral:rRNA from 1 species